ensembl:snRNA U6 U6 spliceosomal RNA
GUGCUUGCUUUGGCAGUACAUAUGAAGUUAGAAUGGUUCAGAGAAGGUUACCAUGGCUCCUCCACAAGGACAACAUGCAAAUCUGUGAUGUGUUCCAGAUUUUU